AUUGAACGCUGGCGGCAGGCCUAACACAUGCAAGUCGAACGAGUGGCGGAAGGGUGAGUAAUGUCUGGGAAACUGCCUGAUGGAUGGGGUUAACUACCGGAAACGGUAGCUAAUACCGCAUACCAUCAGAUGUACCCAGAUGGGAUUAGCUAGUUGGGGGGGUAACGGCCCACAAAGGCGACGAUCCCUAGCUGGUCUGAGAGGAUGACCAGGCACACUGGAACUGAGACACGGUCCAGACUCCUACGGGAGGCAGCAGUGGGGAAUAUUGCACAAUGGGCGCAAGCCUGAUGCAGCCAUGCCGCGUGGAUGAAGAAGGCCUUCGGGUUGUAAAGGACUUUCAGCGGGGAGGCGUUACCCGCAGAAGAAGCACCGGCUAACUCCGUGCCAGCCGCCGCGGUAAUUC
rnacentral:rRNA from 1 species